GAUGAAAACGCAGUGAAAUGCGAUAAGUAAUGUGAAUUGCAGAAUUCAGUGAAUCAUCGAAUCUUUGAACGCACAUUGCGCCCGCCAGUAUUCUGGCGGGCAUGCCUGUUCGAGCGUCAUUUCAACCAUCAAGCCCCCGGGCUUGUGUUGGGGACCUGCGGCUGCCGCAGGCCCUGAAAAGCAGUGGCGGGCUCGCUGUCACACCGAGCGUAGUAGAUUUUAUCUCGCUCUGGGCGUGCUGCGGGUUCCGGCCGUUAAACCACCCUUUUAACCCAAGGUUGACCUCGGAUCAGGUAGGAAGACCCGCUGAACUUAAGCAUAUCAAUAAGCGGAGGA
rnacentral:misc_RNA from 1 species